AUUGAACGCUGGCGGCAUGCCUUACACAUGCAAGUCGAACAGCAGCAUGAUCUAGCUUGCUAGAUUGAUGGCGAGUGGCGAACGGGUGAGUAAUACAUCGGAACGUGCCCUGUAGUGGGGGAUAACUAGUCGAAAGAUUAGCUAAUACCGCAUACGACCUGAGGGUGAAAGUGGGGGACCGCAAGGCCUCAUGCUAUAGGAGCGGCCGAUGUCUGAUUAGCUAGUUGGUGAGGUAAAGGCUCACCAAGGCGACGAUCAGUAGCUGGUCUGAGAGGACGAUCAGCCACACUGGGACUGAGACACGGCCCAGACUCCUACGGGAGGCAGCAGUGGGGAAUUUUGGACAAUGGGCGAAAGCCUGAUCCAGCAAUGCCGCGUGUGUGAAGAAGGCCUUCGGGUUGUAAAGCACUUUUGUCCGGAAAGAAAUGGCUCUGGUUAAUACCUGGGGUCGAUGACGGUACCGGAAGAAUAAGGACCGGCUAACUACGUG
rnacentral:rRNA from 1 species